rnacentral:rRNA from 1 species
GGCUACUUGCUGCUUCCCGAAGAACCUGAUCCCUUGCGCACCUUGCAUCAUAAGGAUAGCAUCGUGAAGGUGAUGUUUCUCGCGGCCAUCGCUAAACCAAGAUAUGGCCAAGAUAGGGUCGUCACGUUUGAUGGAAAGAUAGGCAUUUGGGCCUUUGUCACAGAGUCUCCGGCUCAAAGGAGGAGUGAAAAUAGAGAAAGAGGGACACUCGAACUCAAAUCAUUGAAAGUUACAAGAGAUGUAAUGAGGCUCUAUAUGCGUGAGAAACUGAUUCCAGCUAUCCAGGACCUGUGGCCCGACGAAGAUGAAGAACGGACCAUCUUCAUCCAGCAAGAUAAUGCUACGCCGCAUCUUAAGCCUAUUGACGAGGUUUUCCAACAGGCCGUAGAACAGACCGAUCUGGAUAUUAAAUUGAUCCAACAACCUCCAAACAGCCCCGACCUGAAUAUUCUUGAUCUCUGCAUCUUCAGGUCUCUCCAGUCGCAUACUGAUUGCAGAGCACCUCAAAGCAUCAGGGAAUUGAUAGAAGGCGUGGAGGAAGAAUAUCGAAACUAUGAUGUCAAUACGCUAGCUCGAAGCUUCGUGACACUACAAUCAUGCAUGCGAGAGAUUAUGAGAAAAAAAAGGAGGGAUAGACUACAAGAUUCCUCACAUGCAUAA